rnacentral:rRNA from 1 species
AGUGAACGCUGGCGGCGUGCCUAAUACAUGCAAGUCGAACGGAAUUUAAAAGAGCUUGCUCUUUUAAAUUUAGUGGCGCACGGGUGAGUAAUAUAUAGCUAAUCUGCCCCUUGCUGGAGGACAACAGUUAGAAAUGACUGCUAAUACUCCAUACUCCUUUUUACCAUAAGAUAAAUCGGGAAAGAAUUUCGGCAAGGGAUGAGACUAUAUCGUAUCAGCUAGUCGGUGGGGUAACGGCCUACCGAGGCUAUGACGCGUAACUGGUCUGAGAGGAUGAUCAGUCACAUUGGAACUGAGACACGGUCCAAACUCCUACGGGAGGCAGCAGUAGGGAAUAUUGCGCAAUGGGGGAAACCCUGACGCAGCAACGCCGCGUGGAGGAUGACACUUUUCGGAGCGUAAACUCCUUUUGUUAGGGAAGAAUAAUGACGGACCUAACGAAUAAGCCCCGUAUUCCC